rnacentral:rRNA from 1 species
GGGUUGUGAGGUUAAGCGACUAAGCGUACACGGUGGAUGCCCUGGCAGUCAGAGGCGAUGAAGGGCGUGCUAAUCUGCGAUAAGCGCCGGUAAGGUGAUAUGAACCGUUAUAACCGGCGAUACCCGAAUGGGGAAACCCAGUGUGAUUCGUCACACUAUCAUUAACUGAAUCCAUAGGUUAAUGAGGCGAACCGGGGGAACUGAAACAUCUAAGUACCCCGAGGAAAAGAAAUCAACCGAGAUUCCCCCAGUAGCGGCGAGCGAACGGGGAGGAGCCCAGAGCCUGAAUCAGCAUGUGUGUUAGUGGAAGCGUCUGGAAAGGCGCGCGAUACAGGGUGACAGCCCCGUACACAAAAGCGCAUGUGCUGUGAGCUCGAUGAGUAGGGCGGGACACGUGGUAUCCUGUCUGAAUAUGGGGGGACCAUCCUCCAAGGCUAAAUACUCCUGACUGACCGAUAGUGAACCAGUACCGUGAGGGAAAGGCGAAAAGAACCCCGGCGAGGGGAGUGAAAAAGAACCUGAAACCGUGUACGUACAAGCAGUGGGAGCACAGGUUUACCUGUGUGACUGCGUACCUUUUGUAUAAUGGGUCAGCGACUUAUAUUCUGUAGCAAGGUUAACCGAAUAGGGGAGCCGGAGGGAAACCGAGUCUUAAUUGGGCGUUAAGUUGCAGGGUAUAGACCCGAAACCCGGUGAUCUAGCCAUGGGCAGGUUGAAGGUUGGGUAACACUAACUGGAGGACCGAACCGACUAAUGUUGAAAAAUUAGCGGAUGACCUGUGGCUGGGGGUGAAAGGCCAAUCAAACCGGGAGAUAGCUGGUUCUCCCCGAAAGCUAUUUAGGUAGCGCCUCGUGAAUUCAUCUCCGGGGGUAGAGCACUGUUUCGGCUAGGGGGCCAUCCCGGCUUACCAACCCGAUGCAAACUGCGAAUACCGGAGAAUGUUAUCACGGGAGACACACGGCGGGUGCUAACGUCCGUCGUGAAGAGGGAAACAACCCAGACCGCCAGCUAAGGUCCCAAAGUCAUGGUUAAGUGGGAAACGAUGUGGGAAGGCCCAGACAGCCAGGAUGUUGGCUUAGAAGCAGCCAUCAUUUAAAGAAAGCGUAAUAGCUCACUGGUCGAGUCGGCCUGCGCGGAAGAUGUAACGGGGCUAAACCAUGCACCGAAGCUGCGGCAGCGAACGUAUCACUUAAAGCGAUUCAGCGGGUUACGAUUGACGGAGCGAAGCGACGUCAAAGCGUAUACAAAGUCGAGUCGGUUUAAGGAUACGUUCGUUGGGUAGGGGAGCGUUCUGUAAGCCUGUGAAGGUGGCCUGUGAGGGUUGCUGGAGGUAUCAGAAGUGCGAAUGCUGACAUAAGUAACGAUAAAGCGGGUGAAAAGCCCGCUCGCCGGAAGACCAAGGGUUCCUGUCCAACGUUAAUCGGGGCAGGGUGAGUCGACCCCUAAGGCGAGGCCGAAAGGCGUAGUCGAUGGGAAACGGGUUAAUAUUCCCGUACUUGGUGUUACUGCGAAGGGGGGACGGAGAAGGCUAUGUUGGCCGGGCGACGGUUGUCCCGGUUUAAGCGUGUAGGUGUGUGUUCCAGGUAAAUCCGGUUCACUUUAACACUGAGGCGUGACGACGAGGCACUACGGUGCUGAAGCAACAAAUGCCCUGCUUCCAGGAAAAGCCUCUAAGCAUCAGGUAACAUCAAAUCGUACCCCAAACCGACACAGGUGGUCAGGUAGAGAAUACCAAGGCGCUUGAGAGAACUCGGGUGAAGGAACUAGGCAAAAUGGUGCCGUAACUUCGGGAGAAGGCACGCUGACACGUAGGUGAAGUGAUUUACUCACGGAGCUGAAGUCAGUCGAAGAUACCAGCUGGCUGCAACUGUUUAUUAAAAACACAGCACUGUGCAAACACGAAAGUGGACGUAUACGGUGUGACGCCUGCCCGGUGCCGGAAGGUUAAUUGAUGGGGUCAGCGCAAGCGAAGCUCCUGAUCGAAGCCCCGGUAAACGGCGGCCGUAACUAUAACGGUCCUAAGGUAGCGAAAUUCCUUGUCGGGUAAGUUCCGACCUGCACGAAUGGCGUAAUGAUGGCCAGGCUGUCUCCACCCGAGACUCAGUGAAAUUGAACUCGCUGUGAAGAUGCAGUGUACCCGCGGCAAGACGGAAAGACCCCGUGAACCUUUACUAUAGCUUGACACUGAACAUUGAGCCUUGAUGUGUAGGAUAGGUGGGAGGCUUUGAAGCGUGGACGCCAGUCUGCGUGGAGCCAACCUUGAAAUACCACCCUUUAAUGUUUGAUGUUCUAACGUGGACCCGUAAUCCGGGUUGCGGACAGUGUCUGGUGGGUAGUUUGACUGGGGCGGUCUCCUCCUAAAGAGUAACGGAGGAGCACGAAGGUUGGCUAAUCCUGGUCGGACAUCAGGAGGUUAGUGCAAUGGCAUAAGCCAGCUUGACUGCGAGCGUGACGGCGCGAGCAGGUGCGAAAGCAGGUCAUAGUGAUCCGGUGGUUCUGAAUGGAAGGGCCAUCGCUCAACGGAUAAAAGGUACUCCGGGGAUAACAGGCUGAUACCGCCCAAGAGUUCAUAUCGACGGCGGUGUUUGGCACCUCGAUGUCGGCUCAUCACAUCCUGGGGCUGAAGUAGGUCCCAAGGGUAUGGCUGUUCGCCAUUUAAAGUGGUACGCGAGCUGGGUUUAGAACGUCGUGAGACAGUUCGGUCCCUAUCUGCCGUGGGCGCUGGAGAACUGAGGGGGGCUGCUCCUAGUACGAGAGGACCGGAGUGGACGCAUCACUGGUGUUCGGGUUGUCAUGCCAAUGGCACUGCCCGGUAGCUAAAUGCGGAAGAGAUAAGUGCUGAAAGCAUCUAAGCACGAAACUUGCCCCGAGAUGAGUUCUCCCUGAGACUUAGAGUCUCCUGAAGGAACGUUGAAGACGACGACGUUGAUAGGCCGGGUGUGUAAGCGCAGCGAUGCGUUGAGCUAACCGGUACUAAUGAACCGUGAGGCUUAACCUUACAACGCCGAAG